rnacentral:rRNA from 1 species
UGUGCCAGCCGCCGCGGUAAUACGUAGGGUGCGAGCGUUGUCCGGAAUUACUGGGCGUAAAGGGCUCGUAGGUGGUUUGUCGCGUCGUCUGUGAAAUUCCGGGGCUUAACUCCGGGCGUGCAGGCGAUACGGGCAUAACUUGAGUACUGUAGGGGUAACUGGAAUUCCUGGUGUAGCGGUGAAAUGCGCAGAUAUCAGGAGGAACACCGAUGGCGAAGGCAGGUUACUGGGCAGUUACUGACGCUGAGGAGCGAAAGCAUGGGUAGCGAACAGGAUUAGAUA